GUGAAGACGUCAUUGCUCUUGCUUAAUCUGCUGCUUAAGACACAGUUGUGAUGCAGGAGGGUAAAUAGGCGUGAUUGGGAAGACCCACCUGAUGCGUGGCGGAUGAUUUGGACCCCUGGACCUGAUCGAGCCCCCGGCAGGGUGCAUUACGUAUCACACAGUGGGGACUUUAAGAUCAAGUUUCCACACUAUGAGAGCUUGGAGGAGCUGCAGGAAAUGCUGUUCAAGAAGUACAUAUGCAGAGGCAGGCUGCUGUCAAGAAUUCGUGCCUACAGAAUGAAUGGGCCUUCUGAUACUACCUUUUCAAUUUGGCAUGAAAUGUUCACCUGGAGGGCAGAUGGCUGGGAGUGUAGCUUCACAGCUGGAGAUGAGGCUAGCGAAUUAAUGUGGACUCCCAUUUACGAUUCGCCCGUCGCGUCUGAGGACUCCAGCUCAUCUGAUGACGACAAACCUGGACCUUCUGGACAGUCCGGAGUUCAAACCCAGAGCUCAGAUCCACAGCGUGCUGAGGAUGCGGACGCUGGAUCCAGCAGUCAGGAGGAACAGAUCGUGUCGUUGAGGAGCAUAGGAACAAAUACUGGCGCUGCUGAAAAUAAAUGUUGAGGCUCCAGUUCAUCUGAU
rnacentral:lncRNA from 1 species